GCGGAUUUUCUGGAGCUACAGAAGGCCAAUUGGCGCGCUCUCAACGGCGUUGGAAAGUAGACAUCCUGGGCUUUCCAGCAAUAUAUAAUAGUCCAUACUUUGCCCAAGAUUUGAUGGCCCAAACCGGCGCUCAAAGUCACCUACAGAAAUUCCAGCGUUAAACGCCGGAACUGGCAUAAAAUUUGGAGUUAAACGCCCAAACUGGCAUAAAAGCUGGCGUUUAACUCCAGAAAACGUCUCUACACGAAAUUCCUUCAUUGCUCAGCCCAAGCACACACCAAGUGGGCCCGGAAGUGGAUUUUUCUGUCAUUUACUCAUUUCUGUAAACCUUAGGACACUAGUUUACUAUUUAUAGGAUCUUUUGACAUUGUAUCAGUACCUUAUGCAACCUUUUGAUGAUCUUAUGACAUUGUACACGUUUUCUUCCACAGUAUGAGUCUCUAAACCCCAUGGUUGGGGGUGAGGAGCUCUGCUGUGUCUUGAUGGAUUAAUGCAAUUACUACUGUUUCUCAUUCAA